rnacentral:rRNA from 1 species
GAUGAACGCUGGCGGCGUGCUUAACACAUGCAAGUCGAACGGUGAAGGCGGAGCUUGCUCUGCUGGAUCAGUGGCGAACGGGUGAGUAACACGUGAGCAAUCUGCCCCUGACUCUGGGAUAAGCGCUGGAAACGGCGUCUAAUACUGGAUACGAGCUGCGAAGGCAUCUUCAGCAGCUGGAAAGAACUUCGGUCAGGGAUGAGCUCGCGGCCUAUCAGCUUGUUGGUGAGGUAACGGCUCACCAAGGCGUCGACGGGUAGCCGGCCUGAGAGGGUGACCGGCCACACUGGGACUGAGACACGGCCCAGACUCCUACGGGAGGCAGCAGUGGGGAAUAUUGCACAAUGGGCGAAAGCCUGAUGCAGCAACGCCGCGUGAGGGACUACGGCCUUCGGGUUGUAAACCUCUUUUAGCAGGGAAGAAGCGAAAGUGACGGUACCUGCAGAAAAAGCGCCGGCUAACUACGUG